UAUUACCAUAAUAUUGUCGACUGCAUUU
rnacentral:piRNA from 1 species